ACUGAACGCUGGCGGAAUGCUUACACAUGCAAGUCGAACGGCAGCACGGACUUCGGUCUGGUGGCGAGUGGCGAACGGGUGAGUAAUGUAUCGGAACGUGCCCAGUCGUGGGGGAUAACGUAGUGAAGAUUACGCUAAUACCGCAUACGAUCUAUGGAUGAAAGCGGGGGAUCGCAAGACCUCGCGCGAUUGGAGCGGCCGAUAUCAGAUUAGGUAGUUGGUGGGGUAAAGGCCCACCAAGCCAACGAUCUGUAGCUGGUCUGAGAGGACGACCAGCCACACUGGAACUGAGACACGGUCCAGACUCCUACGGGAGGCAGCAGUGGGGAAUUUUGGACAAUGGGCGAAAGCCUGAUCCAGCCAUUCCGCGUGCAGGAUGAAGGCCCUCGGGUUGUAAACUGCUUUUGUACAGAACGAAAAGGUUUCUACUAAUACUAGGAGCUCAUGACGGUACUGUAAGAAUAAGCACCGGCUAACUACGUGCCAGCCGCCGCCGUAA
rnacentral:rRNA from 1 species